UACGGAGGGUGCUAGCGUUGUUCGGAAUCACUGGGCGUAAAGCGCGUGUAGGCGGUCCGUUAAGUCUGAUGUGAAAGCCCGGGGCUCACCCCCGGAAGUGCAUUGGAAACUGACGAACUCGAGUCCCGGAGAGGAGGGUGGAAUUCCUGGUGUAGCGGUGAAAUGCGUAGAUAUCAGGAGGAACACCGGUGGCGAAGGCGGCCCUCUGGACGGUGACUGACGCUGAGGCGCGAAAGCCAGGGGAGCAAACGGG
rnacentral:rRNA from 1 species